rnacentral:rRNA from 1 species
UACGGGGGGAGCAAGCGUUGUUCGGAUUUACUGGGCGUAAAGGGCGCGUAGGCGGCGCAACAAGUCACUUGUGAAAUCUCCGGGCUUAACCCGGAGCGGCCAAGUGAUACUGUCGUGCUAGAGUGCGGAAGGGGCUACUGGAAUUCUCGGUGUAGCGGUGAAAUGCGUAGAUAUCAGGAGGAACACCAAUAGCGAAGGCAGCUCGCUGGGACGUUACUGACACUGAGGCGCGAAAGCGUGGGGAGCGAACAGG